rnacentral:rRNA from 1 species
GGCGAGUGAGCGGGAAGAGCUCAAAUUUGAAAUCUUCAAGGUUCUACCUUGACGAAUUGUAGUUUAAAGAAGUGUUUUCUGCUAGUGGAGUGGCAAAAGUUCUUUGGAAUAGGACAUCAUAGAGGGUGAGAAUCCCGUAUUUGGUCAUUCUUUCUAGCUUUGUGAUACACUUUCAAAGAGUCGGAUUGUUUGGGAAUGCAGUCCAAAAUGGGUGGUAAAUUUCAUCUAAAGCUAAAUAUUGGCGAGAGACCGAUAGCGAACAAGUACCGUGAGGGAAAGAUGAAAAGAACUUUGAAAAGAGAGUUAAACAGUACGUGAAAUUGUCAAAAGGGAAGCGUUUGACACCAGUGUUGUUUUUCCGAAAAUCAAUUAUGAAUGUUUUGUUUUUGAGGAGUUAUGACUUCAUCGGCUUGCUCCUUUCUUUACGGAACUUUCGUAAUGCACUUUUCGGUUAACAAGUCAACAUCAAUUUCUUUUGUUGUAAAAGGGUACGAGGAAGGUGGCUUUCUUUUCGGAAAAAGUGUUUAUAGCCUUGUGCCUCUGCAAUCGGAGAGAUUGAGGUCUGCAGCGUAGAUCCUUCGGGGCUAGAUACACUUGUGCUAAGUUAUAGCUUUUCAUAGACAACUUGUUGACUAUGUUUAGUCUUGUAGCUUACCCGCUUGUGCUAUUUUACCUACGCUUAGGAUGUUGACAAAAUGGUUUUAAACGACCCGUC